GGUGGGAUGGCAGAGUGGCCGAACGCGGCGGUCUUGAAAACCGUUAGGCCGGAAACGGUCUCGGGGGUUCGAAUCCCUCUCCCACCGCCA
rnacentral:tRNA from 1 species